CACGAGUUUCUUGUUUCGGGAUCAAAAUACUAUAACCAAGGCAGAGAAUUAAUCCCCAGUCAGUCUACCAUAUAAGAAGAUAUUACACAAUGGUGGCUUUAUACAAAUCACCAGCACUCACCACUCAACCGAGCUUCUUCAGAAAAACUCACAGAAAAUUUACAAAGAUGGUGUACAGAUAACUCUCUCUCACUAUCUUACUUUCUCUUGAUUGGUAUAUGAUCCCUCUCGCAUCAACUCAUCAACUCCUAGUCUUAUUUAUAGACACAGGACCAAAGAGAUUUACAAGCAAUGUAUAUAUGAUUCUGUUACAAUUUUUGAGGAUCCAACUGAUUGCAACUCACUUAACUGAUGAGUUUAACAACCAAGUCAAGAAUCAACAUCUUCUUUACACAAAUAUUUAAUAUGAGAGAAAUUUCAAAAGCGUCAAUUGUAUUACCUUUUCCUGAACCAAUGGAUGAAGAAUACAAUGAACUUCCUUGACAAACUAUUUAUAAAUUGAAUACGAUCAUUAAGGAAAAAGAAAACAAAAAUUUGUCCAGAAAGAGUACAAGCAGCCACACUCCGUGAGGAGCAGAAUCACAAACUAUUAUGCUACAACAUGUGAACAACUUGAAUUAGGCACUAAGAGGAUGUUUGACACCCAUUUUUAUGGAAAAAUGAAUUUUUAAAAAUAGU
rnacentral:lncRNA from 1 species